rnacentral:rRNA from 1 species
CAGCCCUAAACGAUGCGCGUUAGGUGUAUCGGUGACCACGAGUCACCGAGGUGCCGAAGGGAAACCGUGAAACGUGCCGCCUGGGAAGUACGGUCGCAAGGCUGAAACUUAAAGGAAUUGGCGGGGAGCACCACAACGGGUGGAGCUUGCGGUUUAAUUGGACUCAACGCCGGGAAGCUCACCGGAUAAGACAGCGGAAUGAUUGCCGGGCUGAAGACCCUGCAUGACCAGCUGAGAGGAGGUGCAUGGCGUAGUCGUGU